ncrna:unclassified sequences GA-cis RNA
GCGAGGAGGGCGCAUAUGUGCAAAGCACAUAUUUAGGAUGCGCCCGACAAUAUACCACAGAGCGAUAGCGAUGUGGUGAUACCCGGG